GGACAGGGGAAGGAGCGAAGAUGGCGGAGUGAGGCGUGCCCCGGGCAGCUGGCCUGCGGGCCCGGGGCAGGCCUCCCGUGAGAAGCGGAGUACUUGUGCUGGACCGUGUGAGGAACCAUAUCACACAAGAUGAAUAUUUUCCUGACCUUAGGUGCUUUUAUAUUCAGCUCAACAUUCUGAACUCAGGACUUGGCACAUUACCUCCAUGGUUUAGGAUGCAGAGACUGCCUUUCUUUUACGUCAGACUCAACACAGGAAAGCCGUGAGGAUGCAGCCGUCCUGUUGACUUCAGCAAGAAAACAAACCAUGGACUUGGGUCUUCUGCAGCUUUUGAAUUGGAAAGACGGUGUUUGCAAGUAGAAGGAAGAUGCUGAAUUUGAAACAAGUGCUUAGGUUCUGUGGCGUGAGUUGUUUUCUUUUUAAAAGAUCCAAACAAGAAGACUGAACAAAUACCAAGUGUGGGUGACUUCAGGUUUUUUUUUUAAUGUCUUCCAAUUUUAACACUAUUAUAAGCACAGUUGACCGCAGUAAGUUCCAAAUAUUUAAUAUAAUUUGAAGUGAAAGAAAUGUUAUCUAAAUUCUGGCUCACUCUUUGACAGUUUUCCUGGACAAAAACAAGAUACGAUAAAAGCAGAAACCAGGUUUGAUUUUGUAUGGGAGUGAAAUCAUUACAGUUUUAUGGGUAUAAAUCUACAUUUUUAAACAAGAUUUUUCUCUUGGAGAAGAAACCUGUUGUUUAUAAGAAGGCUUUGGACAGUUUAAUAGUCUUAAAUGUUCUGCUUUGCUGUUCUAGUCCUUCUCAGGAAGGCCCAGCUGGGCCUGUGGCUAGUUCAGAAUGGGAGGAAACAUAGGCUGGGACAAUGCUCACCCUGAACUGCCAGCGUGUGGGAGGCCAAGGCAGGAAGAGCAGAUGUUCAGGGCCAGCUUGGACAUCAAGAGGCUCAAAACCAGUAGGAAAAAAAACAGAGCCCAGUAACACCCUCUUUUAUAUUCCUUUUGUGGAAUCAUGUAGCAUGUGAGACUGGGUUGGAAGGGAACUGGCAUAUGUGGUAUUUCAGUUAAGGUGAUGUGGUGGACCCUGAUGUGUAACUGGCCUUCACCUUUGGACAUACAGGAAUGAAGGAAAAACUAAAGCUUGGCAUAUAAAUCUUUUCUUCUAAGAAAAAGAAGCAAAGCUGUCUAAUGUAGCAUUGUCUGACUUUUCAACAUUUUUACUUUAUGUGGUUGCAUUUUUUUAUAAAAGUAUAAAUAAGUUCCUUCAACCCAAAA
rnacentral:lncRNA from 1 species